rnacentral:rRNA from 1 species
UAGGGAAUCUUCCACAAUGGACGAAAGUCUGAUGGAGCAACGCCGCGUGAGUGAAGAAGGUUUUCGGAUCGUAAAGCUCUGUUGUUGGUGAAGAAGGAUAGAGGCAGUAACUGGUCUUUAUUUGACGGUAAUCAACCAGAAAGUCACGGCUAACUACGUGCCAGCAGCCGCGGUAAUACGUAGGUGGCAAGCGUUGUCCGGAUUUAUUGGGCGUAAAGCGAGCGCAGGCGGAAUGAUAAGUCUGAUGUGAAAGCCCACGGCUCAACCGUGGAACUGCAUCGGAAACUGUCAUUCUUGAGUGCAGAAGAGGAGAGUGGAACUCCAUGUGUAGCGGUGGAAUGCGUAGAUAUAUGGAAGAACACCAGUGGCGAAGGCGGCUCUCUGGUCUGCAACUGACGCUGAGGCUCGAAAGCAUGGGUAGCGAACAGGAUUAGAUACCCUGGUAGUCCAUGCCGUAAACGAUGAGCGCUAGGUGUUGGGGACUUUCCGGUCCUCAGUGCCGCAGCAAACGCAUUAAGCGCUCCGCCUGGGGAGUACGACCGCAAGGUUGAAAC